UGAGUGUGCAGGGAAGAUCACAGGGAAGGGUAAGCACCCUAUCUUCUGACACCACCACCAGUGCUUGAGUGUCAUGCUGAAGCAAGACACUUCUUGACUGUUAAUUCUCCAUCCAAGCCCUUCUUGAGUCCAGUUUUCCAAAAGCAAAGUUUAACAAGAGCAUCAGUGAUCUUUGUGUCUUCCUUUUUAUUCCUCUGAGUGGACAAGUCUGCUUCUAACUUUUCAGAGAUCCAAGAUAUUCUUACCUGAGCCUGCAAAACUUUCAUCUGAGGAUCAAAAACAACCAGGAACAAUUUCAACCUCUCUGUAGUGUGACUGGAUAUUGCACCUGCCUACUCCAGCCUCUCCAGCUCUUUUCCGUAGUAGUGUGCAUGCUGUUGCUGCAACCAGACCAGAUUACCUGCUUAACGAAAUUCUCCUGUGACUUCUCGAAUAUAUAUGAACUAAACACUGCUGACUGUCAAUAUACACCUUUGAAGGACGGGAGGGAGAAGAGUCAACAUGUUGCAGGUUUUUCCUUUUUUAGGAAAAUCAUAUGCUUACAACAAACUAGCAUCAGUUGCAAUUGGAAUAAAAAUAGGAGUCAGUUCAUGGCAAGAGACAG
ensembl:lncRNA